GUCCUGCUGUAAAGUCUGAGGACUCUGCAGACUGUCACAAGUGAAAGGAAAAGACCCUUGAUGGAGAUUGACAGAGAGAUCUUAUGUCAAGUAUGAACAGGAGAAUCUCACAGUGUUUAUGUAUGGCACUUGGGAAAGCAAGAUGAGGAUAUCAAUGCCAAGAAGACUAAAUCGUAAGUGAACAGCAGCCGAGGAUCUCUUUCUAGCCCUGACUGCAAUGUGCUGCUUAAGGCUUUAAAGGUUCAGUGUUGAGUGAUGCUCCGUGAACAAAUGAUGUUGAGAGGA